GAUUUUGACUGUAAAGCGACGUUCACUAUACCUACGUCGGCUACACACUAUCGUCGAACUCUGACAGAUGCCACUGCAUCAACAUUGCGCAGUUUGUAUGAGCACUUUUAUUUACCGCGAUGAAUAAUCAGCAAUGUAUACCGAAUUUGCACAAAGUUUAGCGAACUGUUCGUGGAUAGUAUGGAGCCGGCGUUAGAUUAGAAAAAUCUGUAUCCUAAGCUAUGUGCAUUGUGUAUAUGGUCUUAUGUACAAUUUAUAAGGAAUAAUAGUCAUUAGGUCCAAUUGUUAUCGACGUUAUCGAUUGAGAUAUGAUAUACGUGUCCUUAUGACUUAUCACAUAUUCACUUGGAACUCGCCAGCCAUUGGGACAUAUCUAGACGGUAUUUACAUAACUUCAAUUGUUUUUACCUAACUUUGGAGCAACGAAGCCGUGACAUUAAACCUAUAAUGGGAGCUUGCUCAAGCUGCUGUGGUGAUGACGGUGGUGGAGGGGUCAACGUGGUGGACCACGCGCCAGGGCGCCCAGAUUUCGGUGGCGGCGGCGGGGUCACGGUCGUCGACCAACCGAUGGGCGACGACGGCGUCGGAAGAUGAGACUUAAAUUUCUUGUAAUAUAUUUAUUUAGCCCGUACAGUACACAGUAAAUAAUAAUUUUAUAUCCUCACAA